AGUCCAUCCACUGCAUUUUUUCUUCAGCAUACGUAAGAGAGCGUUACCGCAUACUGAACAGUUUCGGAACGUCAACCCAAGAGUGCGACAGUCAAAACUUGAGGCGCGCAUAAACAGUGUGCGUGGUAUCUCAGGUAGAGGCGCGCGUUUGAUUCUUCACUCUGCACCUCUGCUGCGCUUCGAAAAAAGGGACAGCUCGGAAUACUGCUUGACCUCGACGUGCAAUGCCUUCUACCGGCCGGGGAGAAAUUUCGGUCGGAGGUGGGGAAGGGCAGGAUGGAGGACAAGGGGACUGAGGUCUGCGUGGACUGGAGACAAGAGCGCGCGAUGGAGAUGACUGCUCGCCUCUCGCACUUCAGCUCCAAGGUCGACGGCAGAAACUGUGAUGGGCUUGUCAACCACAACGGGGAAACUACGGAGAUAACAGUGUCACUGUCGGGGAAGAGGCUCAGCCCGAUAGAGGGGGGAAAUCUUUACAGACUGCGUGAAAGAAAGUUCCUUUUGGAAGACAAGAAGCGCCUCUGCACGUGGGCACUGGGAACCGCGUUAUUAGGGAUUCUGCUGAUGAUAUUACAUGCUGAGCUGUGCCCAGUAGUAUACCAACCAGGAUCCAUACAUGCCCUCUCCAUAAAUGGCCUCAUUAGCUUCUCCACUGGGUGUCUGCUCAUCCUCAUCAUUGCCUUCCAUUAUAAAGACAUCAGACUUUUCAUCAUUGACCACAACCAGGUGGACUGGCGCAUCGCCAUGACCAGUAACCGAGUGCUUGGCAUCUCCCUGGAGAUCAUUGUGUGUGCUAUCCAUCCUGUGGCCACCUACCUGAGGCCCAAUGUGGGGAACAGGUUAGGGGGGAAAUCAGAGGGAAAUUCCUCUGCUCCCCUCUGCUUGUCCUCCAGCCACAAAGAAGUCAUGCUAGAUGUGGAGUUGCUGCUGUCGGGACUGAUGUUCCUGAGGCUGUAUCUGGUGCACAGAGCUGUCCUGUUACACAGCAAAGUGCUCCUCAGUGCCUCUUAUAGAAGCAUCGGCUCCCUCAACAAUAUCAAUUUCACAUUCCGCUUCGUGCUCAAGGUGUUAAUGAACCAGUAUCCAGCCCGCACCCUACUGGUCUUCAUUAUGUUCUUCUGGCUCUCAGCAGCUUGGAUGCUGCGACUGUGCGAAAGGCAGGAACAGGUGGAGACAGGCGGUAUGGACACAGCAUUGUGGCUCAUCGCCAUCACCUUCCUAACAGUGGGCUAUGGAGAUGUGUCCCCUUUUACUAGCUGUGGCAAGGUGGUGUGUCUCUUCACAGGCGUCAUGGGUGUGGCAUGCACUGCUAUGUUGGUAGCAGUCAUGACUAAGAAGUUGGCUCUCAACAAAGGGGAGAAACAUGUGCACUUCUUCAUGAUGGACAUCCAGAUAUCCAAGAGAAUCCGGCAUGCGGCAGCCAAUGUGCUAAGAGAAUGCUGGCUACUACACCGCACCACUCAAUCCAAGGACAACAGUGGUGAGCAUCGCCAUCAUCAGAGAUGCCUGCUGGAGGCCAUCCAUGUUGCGCCCUGCGCUGCUAGAGGCCUGGACACCACUGUCUCACCUCGACCCUUGUCUACCCCUGGGGAGCCUACUGCCUGUCGGCGCAACACUACAACCCCCGGCUGCUGCCUAAAGGGACACUCCCUGAGAAGCUCUGAAGAAGCUUCCUUUAUUUUUUUCGCCCUCUCUGCGGGUUGUUUAUGUUGAGCUAUACCUCUCAAGGAGGAGAUUUGUGUUCAUCUUUUGCUUCAUAAGAAUUCUCAUUAAAGACUCUAUUUUCAUUGACAUCGCUCUUGGGUCCUCACUUACCUUCCUAACAUGAUCAGAUUAAAGGACUGAAAUAGUUCAUACUGCAUGCAAUAGUUCAUGGAUUAAAUCAUGUUAUUUAUUAUUUAAAAGCCCAUUGCAUUAGGCAUGGAAUUAUUCAGAUUUUAAAUCAUACAUAACAUUUCAGUUUCACAGAAAUCACAUUAUAACAGCAAAUUGUCAUCAUCUUCACCUGCCUGUCAGAGCAGAUGACACUAGUUGCACUAGUUGCAUAAUAUAUGGUCUUGUGGUUGUUGAUCUUGCGAUCAUUGCAAGAAUGUCAGUUCAGUGUGCUGCCAGCAUUUGGAACUGGCUAUUAAGUGCACUUGUUUCCCCAUCUCCCCAGCCUAUUGUUGUCACCAUUUUAUUGUUUACAACAUGUAUUCCAAUCUUCCGGCAGAUAAGGAGCUUAGUUUGGGAAAAGCCACUCAACUGGCUGGCCUCUUUAACUGGAGAGUAGGAAGUUCAGAUGUGUGCAUUUGCAGAGCAUUUUACAUUAUUAAUGACUAUAGGAAUCUGGCCGUAAAAAUGUUCCAUGUGUGUACUAUAUGUAAGACAGUAUAUUUGUCAGUAACAGUGGUUGGCAGAAAGGGUGGAGGGAUUUUUGACACCCUGUUUUACAGUUAGUAGAAACACCAAAAAUACUCUGGAAAGAAAGUGGGUGCUACAGUGACAGAUAAAUCAGCACGUCAGGGAGCAGACUGUCAAAGAGUUAGGAGUUCAUUCUGGUUUAUGUGUUUUAGUCUGUUCCUUUUUUUGCUCUCUGUCUACAUGACACGUGGAUACUGGUCAUUUUUGCAUGCUUCGGCAGUUACUGAUGGUUCCCCUACAAUAAAUGGUUUCCUUGUUGCUUUUUUGGGAAAAAGAUUUUUUAGAGAACUCUAAACGUAGGCCUGCAGCAAAACCUCUGCAUUAAGAAAUGUCAAGAGAUUGAUGUACUGUUGAAAACUGUCAUUACUAGCGGUCACAGAUUAAUCAGAAAAUCAUGAAUUUUAAAGAGGAUUGACAGUUUCAACACAGAGCAACGAAGCUGUCCAGAGUUCCUUACAAACUGUUGUUUCAGACGAUGUGAAUGAAUCACCAUGCUGACUGUAAUUAACUAUCUCCCAUAAUCUCUCUGACUAGAUUUCGUCACCUGCGGCUGAAGCAGAGAAAGCUAAGGGACUAUGCCAGUGAGAUGGUGGAUUUCUCAAAGAUGCAGAUGAUCAUGUGUGAUCUAAGUGCAAACUGGAACAGCUCUUAUCAUGAGCUUGAGCAGAGAAUCAUCUCCAUGG